UACAGAGGGGGCAAGCGUUGUUCGGAAUUACUGGGCGCAAAGGGCGCGUAGGCGGCCUUCUAAGUCGAACGUGAAAUCCCCGGGCUCAACCCGGGAACUGCGUCCGAUACUGGAAGGCUUGAAUCCGGGAGAGGGAUGCGGAAUUCCAGGUGUAGCGGUGAAAUGCGUAGAUAUCUGGAGGAACACCGGUGGCGAAGGCGGCAUCCUGGACCGGCAUUGACGCUGAGGCGCGAAAGCCAGGGGAGCAAACGGG
rnacentral:rRNA from 1 species